AAACGGUCGGCUGUUGAAGUUUACGGUUCGGUAACGGGCGGUAUAUGCGGGUAUUUUAAAAUCUAAGCAAAAUCUACAAAGCUUAAGUGCAAAUAAGAUCUAAAAAAAAUUGAAAAUUCAAUGCAACCAAUUUGCAAAAUUUCUGAAUGUGUUUACAAUUGCUAGAAACAUAGUAAUUAGUUGAAAAAGCUUCACAAAGAAAUAAAUUAAUAAUAACAACAACAAAAAAA